AUUGAACGCUGGCGGCAGGCCUAACACAUGCAAGUCGAGCGAGCGGCGGACGGGUGAGUAAUGUAUGGGGACUGCCCGAUAGAGGGGGAUAACUACUGGAAACGGUAGCUAAUACCGCAUACUAUCGGAUAACCCAUAUGGGAUUAGCUAGUAGGUGAGGUAAUGGCUAACCUAGGCGACGAUCCCUAGCUGGGCUGAGAGGAUGAUCAGCCACACUUGUGUUGAGACACGGCCCAGACUCCUACGGAGGCAGCAGUGGAGAAGACUGCACAAUUGGCGCAAGUCUUAUGCAGCCAUUCCGCGUGUAUGAAGAGGGCCCUAGGGUUGUAAAGUACUUUCAGUCUGGAGGCGUUACCGACAGAAGAAGCACCGGCUAACUCCGUGCCAGCAGCCGCGGUAAUUC
rnacentral:rRNA from 1 species